CCCUUAGAUGUUCUGGGCUGCACGCGUGCUACACUGAUAUUGCCAAUAUGUCAUUCUUAUCCGAAAUGGAUUGGGUAAUCAAGUAAUGAAAUUUCAUGCUUGGAAUCGGUAAUUGCAAUUUUAUCGUGAACGAGGAAUUCCUAGUAAGCACUAGUCAUCAGCUAAUGUUGAUUAUGUCCCUGCCCUUUGUACACACCGCCCGUCGCUACUACUGAUUGGGUGUUCAAGUGAGAUGCUUAGACCCUUGUUGCAUGGUUCAUUAUUGUGCUCCGAAAGGAAAAAGUUUCAAGCUUGAGUGUCUAGAGGAAGUAAAGGUCGUAACA
rnacentral:rRNA from 1 species